GGUUAAGUGACUAAGCGUACAUGGUGGAUGCCUUGGCAGUCAGAGGCGAUGAAGGACGUACUAACCUGCGAUAAGCCGUGAGCAGUCGGUAAGAGACAUUACGACUCACGGAUUUCCGAAUGGGGAAACCCACUCAGCAUAAGCUGGGUAUCGCUACGUGAAUACAUAGCGUAGCGAGGCGAACCGGGAGAACUGAAACAUCUAAGUACCCCGAGGAAAAGAAAUCAACCGAGAUUCCCUCAGUAGCGGCGAGCGAACGGGGAUUAGCCCUUAAGCAUCUUGGA
rnacentral:rRNA from 1 species